AAUUUAACCACUCGAUGCCAGCUGCCGUAAAACCCCAAAGAAGAAGAAGAAGAAGAAAAAUCACACCAACAGUUCGAAUGCGAAGAAGAAGAAGAGCCUAUCGAAAAGGGAAUGGUGAUUUUCCUCCACAGAAUACAACCAGACAUGUCCCUCUGCAGGACAUUCUGGACAUAUUUGACAUCUGUCCAGAAUAGGAGUAGGGGACAUGGUAUUGUGGGUGGCGAGGCAGCUUGAGCUCCCCACCACCACAAAAGAGUUUAUGAAGACUACCAGCCAGGCGUCCAGCCCCUCCUCCACCACCUCAGCCAACAGAAGAAGUCCACGCCAUGGCUUCCAGGAUGACUGCCAGCGACCAGUUCAUCGGUCUUCCAGGGUCCAGACGGAGCCCAGUCCAUUCACCAAAUUGGAUGAGGAAUUCUGAGCUCCAGGGAAGAAAUUGGGCCUGCCCUCCUCACCUACAGAGCCGCUACUCUGCGCAGCCCCACGAUCAUUUGAUUGUACUUCUUUGGGUAUGUAAACUGCACAUUGUUGUGAGCAAGGGGACCGUUACUCAACCUUAAAAAUGCCCAAAAUAACAGCUUCCAGUAUGACCGCAAGACACAUUAUUACAAGCCCAAUGUGCCUCUUAAGUGUAGUUUGGGGUUUUUAAAAACUGCUCAAAUUGUAAACUUGACUUUAUUUUCCCAACCAAGAAGUUCCCAUGUCCUAAAGACAUCCCUGAAAGUUGGCCUUUCAGCCGGCCUUUUUCCGUGCUCCAACAAAGUACACAAUGAAGACCUAAUACUUGGGAAAAGCUAUAAAAUCUUACAUUAGAGGAAUAGUGGGAAUCUAUUGUGAUUGUAAACUCGCAUAAUACUCUGUUUACCUUUGCAGGAAACUUUCAGCGCCUGAUUAAAAAUGGCCACCUUUUUAGGUUUUCCUGUCAACUAUGAGUGAAAGAGGGUGGUGGGUGUUGUAGAGCUCCUCCUAAACGUCUGCUAUUGGAUCUUUUCUUUUCUUUUUCAUCACCUGGGAUCAGUGUGGACCAGGCUGAAGGGGUACCUGUGAGGAGGGCAGAGUUUGAGGCCAGGAACCAAGCCUGUCCUCCUCACCUACAAAGCAGCUAUCCUGCAGAGCCUUAUGUUGACUGGCGAAGGUGACGGAGGCAGACGUCUCCUGAGAUAAAGGUGAGGGCCAGCCGAUUUCCCCCGUCCGCUCACUGGCGAAGUUCCCGAAAGAGUCCUGUUGGGUCUGUAGACCGGUCUGCCUGUGGACUCCAUCCUGCAGCUCCAGCAGACCUCGGGCCUGGGGGAGACGGCUCGGACUCACAUGAACAGCUGCAGCUCCACCUGGAAGAACUGUCUGCUUCUUCUUUUAAAAUAUUUCUAAUUACUUUUUUUUUUAAAUUUUAUUUUCAGUUUUAAUAAAUGAAAUGAAUACGGUCUAUGAAAUUUAUUCAGGGUUGGUAAAUUUCAAGGACUGGACUGCACUCCUAAAUAAACGUGUGUACAUCUGAACCUGAAAAGCUGUAGAAAAUAAAUAAAAUAAAUAUCUGUAGAGACCUUCUAACCCAUUCACAGGCUAUAAAGAGUGAAAACACACCAGGCGCCUGCAAAGUCGUAGAUGCGUGCCUGAUGGCCUGGCCAUUCAUACCAGACGCUUAUUUCUCCGCUGCCGUCACAAAGCGAUGUCAUCCCUGAUUGGCUUGUCCUGACAUUCUUACCCUAACCAUAACCAAGCCCGCUCCUCUUGCAUAAACCUAACCAAGCCAACCAGAGCAGGCAACGAGUACUAGCCAUUCAGGGAUGAGUUCCCUAAUGAAUAUUCAUGAGUCUUCCCUUACCGUCCUUCAACAAAAAUUAAAAAAAAAGAUAUUUCAACUGGGACUCAGCUCUAUUAACCUUGCAUUACAGUGCUUAGCCUACAUAUGAGGGAUGAAUCAAAUGUGCGGUUUCUUUUUUCUGUUUACAUGCUAGGCCUACAAGGUGUAAAGGAGAAUCUAACUCCAUAAGGGAGUGAAUACGUUUUGAGUAUAAUGUCAAAGAAAAAGGACAACCUAAGUUGAAGUACUCCCACAUCACAGAGAACACAGAUGGGAGGAGUUAUAUUUUGAAUGUGCACAACGUUUUGAACUUCUUGCUCAAACACAUCUGAAAUAUUAGUCCAGGGGUUUAUUAAUUCAUUAAAAUGAAUGAAUGUAUCAUUGAGGUGAAUAAUUGUCAUAUGCACACUUCUUUAGGACUUCAUGUCGACCAAACUAAGUGAGAAGACUAUAUGAC